rnacentral:lncRNA from 1 species
UUUUGUGUGUGACUGGGUUUUGUCAAGGAGGUGCUUUGAGGAAGAAAUUCUACAAGACAUCCUGUCCUCAAGCAGAGGAUAUUGUCAGAAGGGUCACCUGGAGCCAUGUCUUAAGCAACCCCAACUUGCCUGCAAAGCUUUUGAGAAUGCAUUUUCAUGACUGUUUUGUUAGGGUAAGACUCAUGCAUGCAUGCUUAUGUUAGUCUAAAUAUAUAGUCUUACACUUGAAGAUAAGACACUCCCUGAAAGUUUUCUUGUUGUCCAAAAAGAAAGAAUUCAUGACUAACUCACACAUUUGGAAAUUGAAUUUCAGGGCUGCGACGGCUCUAUUUUACUAAAUUCCACUGCUACUAGCACUGCGGAGAAAGAUGCAAUUCCAAAUCUAACUUUAUCAGGAUUUGAUACUAUUGAUGCCAUAAAAUCAGAGUUAGAGAAUGCAUGUCCAGGAGUUGUAUCUUGUGCUGACAUCUUGGCCUUGGCCGCGAGGGACUCAGUUUCCUUCCAAGUAUAAGUUGAAAAUGAAACCGUUAUACAAAUUCUUGCAUGUCUCAUAUAACUAAUGCAUCUAUUGCUUCUCGUGCAGUUCCAAAAACCCAUGUGGGAAGUGCUUACUGGUAGGAGAGACGGCAACGUUUCAUUAGCUUCCGAUGUCUUUUCUAACCUUCCUUCGCCCUUCUUCGACUUCUCCACUCUAUUGAAAAAUUUCAAGAACAAGGGUCUCAACGUCCAUGAUCUAGUUGUACUAUCAGGUACAUAAUAUAUAUUGUCGGUCCCAGGAAAUUACUUAGAAAAUGAUGACAUAUGUGUAUCAGGGACUAAUAAAUGCACUUGAAUUAUGUAGGCGGACACACCAUUGGAGUAGGCCACUGUAAUCUCUUCAGUAACAGACUCUACAACUUCACAGGCAAAGGCGACCAGGACCCUUCUCUGAACUCCACAUACGCAACUUUCUUGAAGACCAAAUGCCAAAGUCUCAGUGACGCGACCACCACCGUAGAGUUGGAUCCUGGAAGCUCUCUAAACUUCGAUAGCAAUUACUUCGUUAUCCUCAAGGAGAACAAGGGUUUAUUCCAAUCCGACGCAGCCCUUAUAACGGACAAGAUCGCAAGAAACAUUGCUGGAGAGUUGGUUGAUUCGGGAACUUUCUUCGUUGAGUUUGCACAGUCAAUGAAAAGGUUGGGAGCAGUUCAAGUUCUUACUGGCACUGAAGGGGAGAUCAGGAACAAGUGCAGUGUAGUCAAUGCCUAAGCGAUUCCUUCUGCAUGGCUCUGUUCUUCUUGGAUUAUUUUGUGUUGUGAUUAUUUGAAUUAUUUAACCUUUUAAGGGCCAAUGUACUUUUGAUGGGAAAAAUUGAAAAAUUCUUGCCAUGUAAAAGGAAAUAAAUAAAUUAGAUUAAAUUUCAUUUGAUACGCUUUAACAAGGUCAACUUUACCAGAUUUCAAUAGAAUUUCAUCAAAAUUUUCGAAAAUAUUAUUGAGUCGUUUUCUUUUAGUAUAAUUUUAUAGAUAAAUUUGGAUUAUAAUAUUUUUUUUUCAACAAACUUAUUAGGGUGACUAUUUCUAUGUAAACUUUAGCAAUUUUAUUCAAGUAGAAAAGCUAACAAAAAUUGAGUAAUUUAUGCUGACAAUUAAAACAUUUAUUUAGAAUAAACUACUUAUUAAUUUUUUACUUAUUCAUAUUGAUAUAAUUAUGUACUUCACUUGAAAAUAAGAUUAUAUAGUAAGAGCGAUCUGAUACUCAGUCCCAUCGAGGAAAAAGAAGAUCCAGAUGUUUCAAAUCUCAACUCUUCGUCAAGACUCGUCCUCCCAAUUAUAGGGCGAGCCUCCUCAAAAAGUUACCGUUAGUAGAUACAAUCCAGUAGAUUCCUAUUACGCCUAUAAUCGCGGGAUCCCACAUCAACUAACCAGUAUUAGUCAGAUUUCCAGGAGAUUUGACAACAAUUUCUAUUUUCUUGCAGUAUAAAAACAUAUGAACACAGAGCUAAAAUUACACAAUUCUUACACAAUUAUUGUUACAUUUAAACCAUUACAUUACACUCGCACUUAUCUUUAAUUUACUGAUUUGAAUCUCGGAGUGGCCAUCGUAGACGCCAACUACCUCACAUUUCUUUUUCUUGCAAAUUGACCAAUCGCAACACAGUUUUGUUUCAGCCACAUCAUUUGAUUCCAUUGUCGAAAAAUCUAUUGAAUUCUCUCUAUUCAAUUGGAGUAGAAACCAGUAUCUUAUUCCCAUUCUUUUAAAAAGAAAUCUUUCUUUCCUUUUCUAUUCUCUAAAAUGGCUAACAAUUCACGAGUUGUUACUAAGACUGUUGCCAACAAGAGCGUAAUAAUUUUCUCCACUCUUGGUAAUGGACAAAAUACCCUAUCAAUAGUCAAUGAAACUGAUUUGAGCAAUCUAAACAGUAAGUAGAUAAUUCAAUACUUAAAAAGGUUACAAGCCACUCUCGAGCAGUAUAAAGUUCGGGAGGAGGAAGAGGAGCCAGGAUAAGGGAGGAUGCUUCAAUCAAUACCCCAAGAACUCAAAUAGAGGCAAUUCAAUGCAGUCCAAGGAGAAGCCAAAGCUGGAGGAAGAGGAGUCGUCGAACGAGACUCCAAAGGAUAUCGACUGGAAAGCUGAUACUUAAUAAAAAUUCUUUUUUCUAAGUUAUUGUUUCCAUAGCCACGAGGAGGGUAUCCUCCAUGUGAGUCAUAAGGCGAGGGUAAAUACCAUAAAAAAGUUUAAAAUUAUUUUAUAGAAAAAUAUAGAAGCUGCUAGAUAUUUGGUCGAGUUUUAACCCUCUAAUAAUUUUUUAAAGAGAUUAUUUAAAUCUUAUUUGAUGAUGGUUGGAUGAUUGUUAUAAAUGAGUACAGGGCAUGUAAAUACUCAAUGAAAAUAAUGAUAGGAUAUGGGGAAAAAUAUUUUUCAUUAAAAUCAUAGAAGGCCAAUCGAAAUGUGCUAUAUGAUCGGAUCGUGAAGACAAUUGUCACUUUCGAAUAUGAAGAAUCGAAUAUCAGCGGGGGACUUCUGAUAUAACAUAAUAAUCACCCAAAAUAGACCAUAUGCUGGCACUCGAAGACAGAGUCACGUGGCAAGAGUCUGAUCAAAUGAUAUUCGAUCAUAUCAAGGGAAAAAAAAGACUCGGACGCUUCAGAUCUCAGCUUUUCGUCAAGACUCUCCCUCCCAACUAUAGGGCGAGACUCCACAAAAAGUUACCGUUAACAUAUACAAUCUAGGAGAUCCUCAUUACACCUAUAAUUGUAGAAUUUCAUAUCCACUAGUUGGUACUAGUUGAAUUUCUAAGAGAUUUGAUAAUCAUUUCCAUUUUCUUACGGUAUAAAAGCAAAUGAAUACAGAAAUCAAAGUGCAGAAUUCUUACACAAUUACUAUUAAAUUCAAAAUAUUAUACUUACCCUUAUUUUCAAUUUACUUAUUUAAGUAUCGGAUUGACUGUCAUAAACUCCAAUCACUUUAUAUAUUAUUUUUUACAAAUUAAUCAAUUACAGUAUUAUUUUAUUUCAGUCACAUCACAUAUGAAUGUUGAUUUUUUUUUCAAGAUUAAUAGUAAAAAAAUUUUAAAAUUUUUUAUUUUUAAUGGAUGUAUCCUAAACUUUUCUUUAAUAAAUAAACUUUUUACGCGGUUUAACUUUGAGAGUAAAUAUAUUUGUAAAAAUUAUCCAUCUUAAUUUUUUUAUUAAUAAAAAAAAUAAUAUUAUAUCUGUUAAAAAUACAAAAGAUAUAAUAAUAAUAAAAUCUUUUUAUUUUAAAUAUAUUCUUGAAGAUUAUUAGAUAAAAUAACUCAAAUAUUUAUGAAAAAUUAUAUUUCUAUCAUAAAAUUUAUUUUUUAGUCAAUAAAACUAAAAAUUUUAAAUUAGUCAUACCAAUUCAUUACAAUAAAUUUAAAAGUUAACAGAUAAAUUGAUUCAAAAAAAAAAGUUAACAGAAAUUAUAAUAUGCUUAUUAAAGUUUUAUUUGAUAAAAAUAUAAUUUUAAAAAAUAAAAAAAAAUCAAAAUUAUACUUUUAUAAUUAUAUCCUAUAUUUUUAUAUUUUAAUAGAUUUAUCCUAUCAUUAACUAUAAUAAUGUUUGUAAUUAAAAGAGUAAAAAUAAAUUAUAGAACAUAGUACAAGGGAUAUUUGUUAAAAAAAAAAAUUAGAGUACAUCCAUUAAUUUUUUGACAUUAACCCCAUUUUUUUUUAAUACUGGGGCCGUUCUUGUUUAAACUUGUUUUAUCUAACCAAUGGAGGAUUAAUGGUAAUUGAAGGGAUUAAUUGAAAUAGUCCGGCUCAAACUGAUCCAAAUAAUUUUUGGACUAGUUUUUCAUUUGAACCAAAAUGGUUAACCCAAAUUAUUUAGUAAUUUUGUGCUAGCUAUUAUAUACAAUUCGAAAUUACCGUAUUCCGCCGAUGUGAAACUAUUGCAACUGAAUCGGAUAUAAUUACUAAUCAGGACCGGACCUUUAGGUAUUGUGGUUCGCUAGUACUUCGGGCGACUCUACCUUUUCUCAUACAUGUAGCCCUUUCUUCGCAGGUCCACUAGAUCCGCACAAUGUCUGAUCCAGGGUGGCUCUGAUACCAAUUGAAAUAGUUCGGCACAAACUGACACAAAUAACUUUUAAACCCACUUUCCACUUGACCUGUUUAGUAGUUUCGUGCUAACUAUUAUAUACAAUUCGGAAUCGGCAAAGUAGGACCAAGCCAAGUUAUUUAGUAGUUUCGUGCUAGCUAUUAUAUAUAAUUCGAAAUAGCCGUAUUCCACCGAUGUGGGACGAUUCCCCAAAUUAUUUAAUAGUUUCGUACUAACUAUUAUAUAUAAUUUGAAAUUGUCGUAUUCUACUGAUGUGGGACGAUUUUUCAAGUUAGCAGGUGAACGUCACACUCUCCCCUGUUAAAUUUGCAACGUCCUCAUUACAACUGAAUCGGAUACAAUUGCUAAACAUGAUCGAACUCUUAAAUAUUAUGAUUCGCCAGUACUUCGGACAGCUCCAUCUCGUCUCACACGAUUCUUUCCUCGCAGGUCCACUAACUCCAUACAAUUUAUUUGAUCCAGAGUGGUUUUAAUAUCAAUUGAAAUAGGCCGGUCCAAACUGGUCCAAAUAACUUUUGAACCCACUUUUUAAUUGGUCCAAAAUUAUUAACUCAAGUUAUUUAAUAGUUUCGUGCUAAUUAUUAUAUACAAUUCAGAAUUGUUAUAUCAAAAUGAUUAAUUCAAGACUACUUAUUAUAUAUCAUUCGGAAUUGUAGCAUGGGACGAUUUCUGGAGUAGCAGGUGAAUGAGGCAUUAAUAUAUACAAUUAUAAAUUUGAAUUAAUUCUUAAUUUGUUUUAUCUAACCAUUCUAAGAGGGACACUUCUAUACUUGAAUGCUGUGCUUCCUGCUUCCUAAUUAAAUUAAAUUAAAGAAAAGGUUGACAAAGUAUAAGUGUCUAAAACUUGACAAUUUUGGGUGUCUAUUAAUUGCAAAAGUCAAGUAAACAGAUGAUCACAGAAAAACAAAAUACAAUUAGGUGAAGUUUAGAUUUAAAUAAUAAAUAUGAUUCCAAACUAUUAAUUAUUGAAUGGGUAGUUGCGAAAUUGGCUGCAUGAUUACUUGCAUGAACCAUGCAUCCCCUACAUUCUCCCUGGUCCUAGAAAUUGUAAAGCUUACUCGGAGAUUAUCAUUAUUCUCUAAUAUUAUAAUAAAAUUAUUCAUCUUGUACUAUAUUAUGAAGAAACUACAAAAAUUAAUGAGGUGAACGACAGCUAUCUCUACUCAUUUAGCUCGAUCGGCGACUGAAAAAGAAGAAUAAGGAAGCCUGAGGCGCUAAUCCUGCUGUACAGCGCAGACAAGAAGCCAUCAUCAAGAACAGAAAGCAGAUAAGAAUAAUAGAAACAGAUGGUGUAAUUAACAAAUAUUGGUCUCCUCUGCCUGCCAGGUUUCUUUGAGCCCAUAUUUGAUGGCAUGUGUUUAGGGAAAUUGUUGAAGCUAACCAUUGCACUUCUCCACUUUGACCUUAUCACUUCAAUCAAAGCCAAAUCAUUGGAACACCAAAUUCACCAAAGCCCAUUACGGCUACUCAUCUCAUUAAUUAGGUGCAACCAUAAAAUAAAAACCAUUAGAAAAUCAUAGUGGCCAUGUGCAAGAGAGCAUAAUAAAUGUUUAUAAUAUAGGGCAUUUAUCCAACUCCUCCUGAUGCUUUCAAUACUUCUAUAUGUCUCUGCAAAUUUGACUUUUGUUAAUUCUUUGUGUCUUCAGAACUAAAACAAUAACAAAUAUAAUCCUUAAUAAGGCAGUUGUUAAGCAUUUGGUAGGCAUAGAAACAGCGGUUCAUUCGCUGAUUUCUUUACAAACUAAACAUUAAAGUUUGACCUGAAGUGGAUUAUGAUAAUAUUGUGUGCUCAAGGCCAUGCCAACUAACUAAUCAGACCAUGGAUGAAGCUUUUCAACUUUUUAAAUAAUUAAUUUGAGCAGAAUGCAUGUCAUCAGUUUAGAAAAAAAUAGAUGGGUUGUGCAGCAUACAUGAAAUUUUAAAAACAAGAAACCAAGUUUCAACUUAAACCUCCAUUAAAUUAUAUCUCCAAUAUCUGGACUUCCGACAAAAAGAUUCCAUUACACCAGUAUAAAAGGAACAAGGAGCUGCUGUACACUGCAUUGUAGACAUUUACUUGGAAUCACAUUUCUUUUCGUAUACUAGAAGAAGCUGAAUUGAGAAAUAUAUUCACCCAAAAGUCUCAAACAUGAAGACCCAUUUUCUCUUUGUAUGUGUUAUUGUUUUGAGUGUGAUUGGGGUUUGUCAAGGAGGUGCUCUGAGGAAGAAAUUCUACAAGACAUCAUGUCCUCAAGCAGAGGAUAUUGUCAGAAGGAUCACCUGGAGCCAUGUCUUAAGCAACCCUAACUUGCCUGCAAAGCUUUUGAGAAUGCAUUUUCAUGACUGUUUUGUUAGGGUAAGACUCAUGCAUGCAUGCUUAUGUUAGUCUAAAUAUAUAGUCUUACACUUGAAGAUUAAGAUGCUCCCUCAAAGUUUUCUUGUUUCCAAAAAGAAAGAAUUCAUGACU